UCUACAGAGUGUUAUAACAAAUGAGAGUAGCUUAGGCAAAAUCAGACACGAUGAAGUAGAAA
rnacentral:sRNA from 12 species